rnacentral:rRNA from 1 species
GUCCAGGGCCUAACGAUGUACACUAGCUAUUGGGAGUAUCGACCCUCUCUGUGGCGUAGCUAACGCGUUAAGUGUACCGCCUGGGAAGUACGGCCGCAAGGCUAAACUCAAGGAAUAGACGGGACUCGCACAAGUGGUGGAUUAUGUGGUUUAAUUCGUAGAUAAGCGAAGAACCUUACCUAGAUUAGAAAUCCUGAUGACAGCUCGCCGAAAGGUGGGUCUUCCGCAAGGACAGCAGGACAGGUGAUGCAUGGCCGUCGU